AGUGAACGCUGGCGGUAGGCCUAACACAUGCAAGUCGAACGGCAGCACAGUAGGAGCUUGCUAUUACGGGUGGCGAGUGGCGGACGGGUGAGGAAUACAUCGGAAUCUACUUUUUCGUGGGGGAUAACGUAGGGAAACUUACGCUAAUACCGCAUACGACCUACGGGUGAAAGCAGGGGAUCUUCGGACCUUGCGCGAUUGAAUGAGCCGAUGUCGGAUUAGCUAGUUGGCGGGGUAAAGGCCCACCAAGGCGACGAUCCGUAGAUAGUCUGAGAGGAUGAUCAGCGACACUGGGAGUGAGACACGGAGCAGACUGCGACGGGCAUAAGCAGUGCAUAAUAUUACGCAAUUGGCGCGAGACUGAUCCAGCCAUCCCUGCUGAGUCGACGACGACUUCGGGGUGUAAAGCUCUUUUGUUGAGGUAGACGCGCAGCGUGCUAAGCAUCGAAUGUACUGACGGUACUCGAUGAAUAAGACCCGGGUAACUACGUG
rnacentral:rRNA from 1 species